AGAAACCUGGAGCUCAGAGAUUUGCUCAAGUUCAAUCGAACCCUUCGCUCUCGAAGAUUCCAAACUAUUCCCAUUGCUCGGCCUUUACGUGCAAACUUGACCUUGACCUGAGGGCCAGGGGAGAUGGUAAAUGGUGGAACCCCACCUGGCUCCACCACUAAUGUGAUGGUCGCUUUCUCACCUUUCCUUCCUCUAGACUGAGAAGGAACAGGUUCCAGAGAGCCUGGGGCCUGGUCCCCUCAGACCAGAAAGGCAAAGCGCUCAGGAUUCAAGAUCCUUCUAAGCUACUGUGUGGUUCCAAGUUUACUUUUCUAAAAACAAGGAAAGUGGGGAGUUCCCACAGUGGCUCAGCAGGUUAAGAACCUGACUAGUAUCCAUGAGGAUACGGGUUUGAUCCCUGGCCUUACUCAGUAGGUUCAAGGAUCUGCCAUUGCUGUGGCUGUUGCAUAGGCCGGCAGCUGCAGCUCCGAUUCGACCCCUCGCCUGGGAACUGGCAUGUGCUGCAAGUGUGGCCCUAAAAAAGGCAAAAAAAAAAAAAAAGGAAAGUGGGGCAGAAAUUAGAUAAAUUUCCCCAGUAUUGUCCUAGGAGUCUUAACUAAAGGGGAGGAAAGACAGUGAUACCAUGCUGGCUUCAAGGACAUGCCAACAUCUCCUUGAAUGAAACUCAUUUCCUGAUCAUUUUCUUAUUUAUUUAUUUAUUUAUUUAUUUAUUUAUUUAUUUAUUUUUGUCUUUUUGCAAUUUCUUGGGCCACUCCCGUGGCAUACAGAGGUUCCCAGGCUAGGGGUCGAAUUGGAGCUGUAGCCACCGCCUACACCAGAGCCACAGCAACUCGGGAUCCAAGCCGCGUCUGCGACCUACACCACAGCUCACGGCAAUGCUGAAUCCUUAACCCACUGAACAAGGCCAGGGAUCGAACCCGCAACCUCAUGGCUUCUAGUUGGAUUCGUUAAGCACUGAGCCAUGACAGGAACUCCCCUGAUCAUUUCCUUUAGAGUCAACCCCAAUCCCCAGGAUACGGCCAUUCCGCCAAAAAUGGUAUUAUGCACUGAGUGGGCAUUCAGCCCUUACCAAACACCCUGGCACUAACCCAGUACUCAUCCCAUUCCUGUUCCUUCAUGAAAUCCAGGUGAUAAGUCUCAGCUCGUUGUGAGGCCCAUUCUAUUAUCAGGUGAUAAUCUUCUGAGGGGGCUGGGGGACAUCCAGAGGCAGAAAGAAAUCACACGAGGAGAAGUCAAGGGAAAAACUUGAAUUUAAGGAGUUCCAACUGUGAUUGGCGGCAUCGUGGGAGCGCUGGGAUGCAGGUUUGAUUCCUGGCCCAGCACCGUGGGUUAAGAAUCUGGCAUUGCUGCAGCUGCAGUUUAGGUCACGACUGCGGCUCAGAUCUGAUCCCUGGCCCCAUAUGCCUCAGGGCGGCCAAAAAAAAAAAAAAAAAAAAAAAAAAUCAUGUAGCUAGAAAACUUGAAUUUAAGAAAACACAGACAGAAAAUAAACCACUAGCUCAGCCACUAGUGACCAGUGCAGUGUUAUUUUUUUUCCCACUCUGGUCCCUGAUGAAUGCCCCCUAAUUCUGGGAAAGUCUCCCUUUCGUCUUCGGAGUCAGGCUUGAAGGAAUACUGCAGUAUUUCAGCCUUGGGUUUCUAGCAGAGAAACAAACCCAGUUUUGUCAUAUAAUUUUCUGCACCUCUCCUAUAACAACACAUCAUUUGUGGAUCUAUGCUAAAGCAAACACCAUCUGGUGGCUGUGUAAAAAGCUGUCCAGGGUUCUGACCUUCAAGAUGUAAGGGGUUUGUUUGGGCAAAGGGGGCCGGGUCAGGGGCGGGUGGGGUGGGGGUGGGGGGGAAGAAUCCAGGAAUGAUUCAGGGUCGGCAACCUGUAGAGUGGGAUAUUUGGAGGCUAAGCGGAGAAAAAUGAGGCUGGUGUCCCGUUCCAAAGACUCAAGCCAAAAUCGCCAAAGAUUCUUUUUUUUCUCUCCCAAGUGAAAAAUGUUGCCAGUCUAUUUUCCCAGGCUCUGACCUCAACACACACACACACACACACACACACACACUCACACACUCACUCAUAGGAGAAGAGAGGGUACAGGGGAGCCACUGGCUCUCCAAAAUGAAAAUGACCUCCUGAAAAACCGAGCUCCUGGAGUUCCCGACGUGGCGCAGUGGUUAACGAAUCCGACUAGGAACCAUGAGGUUGAGGGUUCGGUCCCUGCCCUUGCUCAGGAUCAAACCUGCAUCCUCAUGGAUGCUAGUUAGAUUCUUUAACCGCUGAGUCAUGACAGGAACUCCUGAAAUCUCUAUUAUCAAUGCUCUGGAAACACCUUUGGCAAGAAUUAGGAGAUGACGACACCUCUCUGAGAACUGAGCUGUGAUUUUUUCCCAAACGGUAAACUCUAAACUGGAAAUUGAACCUAUCAAGCCAGACUCAUAACCAAAGUUCUGAGACCCUCUUGCCUCAUCCUCUUUUCUGUCCCUCUCUGCCUCCAUGUUUGAGGAUCCUCCCCUGGCAAGAGCUGGUCCAACCACCUCACUUAACAGGUCUGCCAGCCUGGACGUUCAUUCUAUCCUGGGAUCGCUUUGGCCUGAGAUGCUACUUUCAGGGGCCCUGCAAGAAACACCGAGUCAGAAGCCCGACUGAGUGGGAGAAGCGAGGCUGAUGGCAGCCUCGUUCUUCAUGCCCUCUCAGCCCAAAUGCGCUGGCGGAGAAAGUCUUCUUUCAUUACGUGUACUGCCAGGACAGCGGCUGGGGGCAUUUUUGAGGUCAAGCUCUCAAUCAACAAGAGGGGGUAAUGGGAGGUCUGGGGCUGUGUUUAAGAUGCGCUGGGGAGCAGACACACUCCAUUUCUGAAUUAUAAAAACGAGUUUUGGAAAACUCUCUUCCUGCACUCUGGCAGGCGUCUUAACAUCUGGAUAAAAGAUGUGGGAAAGUUUUCCCCUUGACUGUGUGUUAUCUGCCCUGCUCCUCCUCGUUGUCUGAAACUUCCAGCCAAACAGGGUCACUUGCCACUUUCCAGCGCACUCACACACUUGGGCGUCCAGGUCUUUGCUCCUGCUGUUUCCUCUGCCAGGAAGCCUGGGUGCUCUCUGCACCUCCUCCCCUUUCCUGCCACAGCUCCGCCUGCUCAAGGGCCCCUGGCUCAGCCCAGACCCCCCUCCCAGCCAUCGUUUGGCCAGGGCUCGCCUCUCCCUUUGAGAGAGGGGCUGGCAGGGGGGAAGGGAACAGCUCAUUGAACAGCUGACGGGGAAGACGAGGCUCCAGCACCAUCACUUUCGGGACCCUAAACUUCCCCGUAAGGAUCCAUGGAAGUGCUUUGCUGUCCCUACUAGGUGCGAAACUCCUUGACAGGCAAGAUCAACUCCUGUCCUUCUCUGAUCUGCCUCCGUGGCCUUGGACAUAGCUGGCGCUUGGCAAGCAGUGGAUUAACAGGCCUGCGUGGCAUUCCUCAGGCUGUGUGUCUGAAGCUUCUCCUCCCCGCUGGGCCUGCAGCUCCAAGUCUACCGCCAAAGCUGCAAAACCAUUUAGGCCCUUUUUAAAACAAGCAAGACGACCACAAAGUAUGUUUACAUGACAGGCCGGCAAAACACAAAACACCUGCUGGCCUGUGGCUCGGGACUUGGCAGCUGCAACAAGCAGGGUCCAAUAUCCACAGCAAAUGACUCCCCAGGGCCUGGAGCUUUGCGUUUGCACCACCGCUGUCCUCCUGGUAGGGUUGGCCUUGAGUUCAGAGGGAGGGGUCAGAUCUCAGCGCCCACUGCCAGCCUGCUUCUCCUGGAGGGCAGUGAAGCCAUCACUGCGCAAGGUGCAAAGGUGCUUUUUCCAGAUUUUGUAACUUCUUCCUACCUAUUAGUCACCAAAGAAAAGCCUUGUGACUAAUACGCUUCACCCUGGGGUGUGGGUUAUGAUCCUCUUCCUCUGCACUCGAAACACCCACUUUGGCAAAAGCAAACAUGACCGGUGCAUCCAACACAAGUUUGCAAAAAAUACGGCAGUGAUUAGAAUUAUGUUAUGUGCCGUACAGAGACUUUUAGUAAAUGUUCACAACCAUCCUAUGAGGUGGGUCCUCUUUUCAGUCCUAUUGCAAAGCAGUGUUUCUCAACCAAGGGCUAUCUGGCCCUCCAAGGGACAGCUGCCAAGGUCUGGGGACAUUUUUGAUUGCUGUGACUGGUGGGCGUAGGGAUGCCACUGGCAUCUUCCCAGCGGAUGGAAGCUGGGAUGCCUUUAAGCAUCCUCUAGAGCACAAGACAGCCCUGCGACAAAAGUUCUCCAGUUCGAAGUGCCGCAGUGUCAAGGUUGAGAGACCCUGUGAUAGCGGAAGAAGCUAAGGCCCAACAAUGAACUUGCCUGGGAUGGCACAGCUCAAAAGUGGGGGCACCAGGAAUUACACCCAGGCAGCCUUACCCUGUGCUAUGUUCUCUGCACUCAACCAGGAGGCAGCUCGGACAUCCUGGGAACACUGGGUACGCACGGGCUGCAGGUGCCCCAUCUAUAAGCACCAGCCCCUCACUUUACAGUAAAAAAAAAAUGCAGACUUGAAGUAGCUUAUGCAAGGCCCUGGUGAGAGGUCAGGCAAUUUGGGGCCCAACUCACACUUAAAAGCGGAAGCAUCUCAGUGCUUGCUCCGCAGAUUCCUUCUCUCCCUGAGCUCCUGGCACGGAGAUCUCACCAACAGCCCAACACCCUAGGAGUGGACUCAGAGGAAAUCAAAGGCUCCUUCAGGAAGGCUUCCCACCCACUCCAGA
rnacentral:lncRNA from 1 species